ensembl:snoRNA small nucleolar RNA SNORA76
GCGCUGCCUUUGAGCCCUCGCCGCGCCUGCGCGUGGCGCCGUGGGGGGGGCGGGGAGGUCAGGCUGCAGCGCCAGAGCAGCAUGCGCUUGCGCAUAACUGGGGCCGUCUGCCCCGCGGCGGCGGCUCUUUUAGCAGCGAGCUAGACUG